AGUGAACGCUGGCGGUAGGCCUAACACAUGCAAGUCGAACGGCAGCACAGUAAGAGCUUGCUCUUACGGGUGGCGAGUGGCGGACGGGUGAGGAAUACAUCGGAAUCUACUUUUUCGUGGGGGAUAACGUAGGGAAACUUACGCUAAUACCGCAUACGACCUACGGGUGAAAGCAGGGGAUCUUCGGACCUUGCGCGAUUGAAUGAGCCGAUGUCGGAUUAGCUAGUUGGCGGGGUAAAGGCCCACCAAGGCGACGAUCCGUAGCUGGUCUGAGAGGAUGAUCAGCCAAACUGGAACUGAGACACGGUCCAGACUCCUACGGGAGGCAGCAGUGGGGAAUAUUGGAAAAUGGGCGCAAGCCUGAUCCAGCCAUACCGCGUGGGUGAAGAAGGCCUUCGGGCUGUAAAGCCCUUUUGUUGGGAAAGAAAAGCAGUAGGUUAAUACCCCGCUGUUCUGACGGUACCCAAAGAAUAAGCACCGGCUAACUUCGUG
rnacentral:rRNA from 1 species